rnacentral:rRNA from 1 species
AUGGCUCGUCGUGCUGUGGAGGCACUGCUCGUCAUCUGGUUCCUCCUCCUACCCCUCACGGCAUCGAGCUUCCUCGUCACAGAGAGCAGGCGCCGGUCCGGCGAGACUGGCGACGAGGUGCUCGGCAUCGCACUCGGCGCGACACACUCGUGCAUUGCCACCGUACACCCGGACGGCUCCAUCAAGAUCGUCCCCGACGACCAGGGCAACCGCGUCACCCCCGCGUGGGUCGCCUUCACCGACGACGGACAGAGGCUCGUCGGCGAGGCCGCCAGGGACCAGUACGCCGCCAACCCGAACCGCACCAUCUAUGGCGCCAGGCGCCUCCUGGGACGGCGGUUCAGCGACGCCGACCUGCAGCGGGGCGUGGAGACCUUGCCGUACGCCGUCGUCGACCGGGACGGGAUGCCGUACGUCCGGGUGGAGGUGGGCGAGGACGACGUGCGGUUGCUCAGGCCCGUGGAGAUCACUGCCGCGGUGUUCGCAGACAUGAUGGACAGGGCGGCGGCCCACCUGGGCAGGAAGGUCACGCGGGCGGUGCUCACCCUGCCCGCCCACUACACCGGCGCGCAGCUGUACGCUACCAAGCAGGCCGGCAUCCUCGCCGGCCUCGACGUCCUCCGCUUGGUAAGGGAGCCCGUCACCGCCGCCAUCGCCUACGGCCUCGACAAGCAUAGGGGCGACGCGAGGAACAUCCUCGUGUUCGACCUCGGCGGCAGCACGCUCGACGUCGCCGUGCUCACCCUCGACCAAGGCAUGUUCGAGACCAUGGCGAGCCGCAGCGACGCCCACCUCGGCGGUGACGACUUCGACCGGCGAAUCGCGGGCUACUUCGUCGAGCUGAUCCAGCGGAAGCACGGCCGGGACGUCACCGGCGACGACCGCGCGAUGCACAGGCUGCUGCGGGAGUGCGAGCGCGCCAAACGGGCGCUGAGCGACCAACACCAUGUGCUCGUGGAGCUCAAGGCGGUGUUGGAUGGCGUCGACCUAUCGGAGACGCUCACCAGGGUGCUGUUCGAGGAGCUCAACCAAGACCUCUUCUUGAAGACGAUGGCUUCGUUGAACAAGGCCUUGGAGGACGCCGAGCUGGAGAAGGGAGACAUCGACGAUGUCAUCCUCAUGGGCGGCAGCAGCAGGAUCCCCAUGGUGCGGCAGCUUGUCAAGGACUACUUCGACGGCAAGGAGCCCGUCAACGUUGACGGGAUCAACCCUGACGAGGCCGUCGCCUACGGGGCCGCAGUACAGGGGAGCUAUCUGACCGGACACCAUGACGACACGACAAGAUGUUUUUUGGGAUAG